CAAGUUAAAACCUAGGGUUAAUUUUUAUUUACAUUAAGAAUUUACUUGUGCGAUUCAAGUUAACUUGA
rnacentral:tRNA from 1 species